UAUGUGAUCGUCUCUUGCAUAUCAAUAAGCGGAGGAAAAGAAACUAACAAGGAUUCCCCUAGUAACGGCGAGUGAAGCGGGAAGAGCUCAAAUUUGAAAUCUUAAAGGGUUUCCCUUUACGAAUUGUAGUUUAAAGAAGUGUUUUCUGUUGAGGUUUUGGUAAAAGUUCUUUGGAAUAGGACAUCAUAGAGGGUGAGAAUCCCGUAUUUGACCUUUACUUUCAACUUUGUGACUACACUUUCAAAGAGUCGGAUUGUUUGGGAAUGCAGUCCAAAAUGGGUGGUAAAUUUCAUCUAAAGCUAAAUAUUGGCGAGAGACCGAUAGCGAACAAGUACCGUGAGGGAAAGAUGAAAAGAACUUUGAAAAGAGAGUUAAACAGUACGUGAAAUUGUCAAAAGGGAAGCGUUUGACACCAGUGUUGUUUUUCUGAAAAUCAAUUAAAGAACUGUUUAUGCUAAGUUGUUUAGACUUUAUCAGCUAAUCUGCUUAGUUUUGAGCUUUUCUUUAAUGCACUUUUCAGUUAACAAGUCAACAUCAAUUUCUUUUGCUGUAAAAAAGCUUGAGGAAGGUGGCUUGAGAUUCGUCUUAAGUGUUUAUAGCCUCUUGCCUAUGCAGUCGGAGAGAUUGAGGUCUGCAGCGUAGAUCCUUCGGGGCUAAAUGCAUUUGUGCUAAGUUAUAGCAUUUUAUAGACAACUUGUUGACUAUGAUUUGUCUUGUAGCUUACUCGCUUAUGUUAUUUUACCUACGCUUAGGAUGUUGAGUAGCGACAUACGCAC
rnacentral:rRNA from 1 species